CACGUUCCUAAUUUCUGAUCGUUCCACUAUUCAUGUAUUCCUGCUCCUUAAACUUCAACUGCUCCUGGCUCCAUCUUCUUCGUCAACCAUAGAAACUGCCAUAUCCACCCCAUGUUCUUCCUUCAUCGCAUCUCCUUCUUCAUUGUGUAAUUGUCCCGUCUACAUAAGAGUUCAAUCUCAACCUAGUUGCUUUAAUUGUUUCAACAUUUGUUUCAAAUUGCUUCAAGCUUCUCAUAAUCAUGGACCACAAAUCAAUUGAGAACAUUUUCUCCUUUGAAUAAAAGCCAUCCAAUGUAUGUUUUAAUUUUUGUUUUCACAAAUUUCUAGGUUUACUUCAACUUUUGAUUGGGCUUUUCAAUAACAAAACUCACUAGAGAAAUCCCUACUGGUAUAGGAAUUUACUAAAUCUCUCUCGCUCUCUUUAUGCUCACAUCUCCUACUUCUUCUCCAUUAUCUACAGGCUUUUUAUUUUUUCUUUGAAUGCACUUGGAAGAUCCCAGACAACGAUGGCCUCUUACUUCGAUAUACACCUUUCUAUAUGUAAACACCACUGGACGCUUACUCACUUACUCAGUAAGUUUCAAUUUUAGGUUUUUUAUUUGUCAACUGAUACUGAUUACAUAGAGAUGCUAUUGACUAUUGUCUCAUUCGAGGCCACCUGCCAUUGCUACAAAAACCAAGGUUUUGACGUUCAAUUUUGGAUUCCGGCUUGAAUUUUACUAGAAGAAAAAUAGUAAAUCCCGUUUGACAUCUGUAAGUUUCUCAAAAUCCAUAUUGAUGCAAAAUCAAUUUAACGCUUUCUAAAGUCUUAAUUAAAAACUUUUUAAGAAGCUUUUAUGAUUCAUAGCAAGAAAUCAGUAAUCUUGAUUUGUAAUUUUCCCCCUUUAUCACAAAUGUCUAUAAUUAAGGAUGUUGAUUGCAUUUCCAAACGAAUUCAAACAAAAUUAGGGUUA
rnacentral:lncRNA from 1 species